UACGUAGGGGGCUAGCGUUGUCCGGAAUCAUUGGGCGUAAAGCGCGUGUAGGCGGUCCGGUAAGUCCGCUGUGAAAGCCGGGGGCUCAACCCUCGAAUGCCGGUGGAUACUGUCGGGCUAGAGUGCGGAAGAGGCGAGUGGAAUUCCUGGUGUAGCGGUGAAAUGCGCAGAUAUCAGGAGGAACACCAAUUGCGAAGGCAGCUCGCUGGGACGUAACUGACGCUGAGACGCGAAAGCGUGGGGAGCAAACAGG
rnacentral:rRNA from 1 species